UACGGAGGGUGCAAACGUUGCUCGGAAUCAUUGGGCGUAAAGCGCACGUAGGCGGCCUGAUAAGUCGGGUGUGAAGCCUGGGCUCAACCCAGGAAGUGCACUCGAAACUGUCAGGCUUGAAUAUGGAAGAGGGUCGCGGAAUUCCCGGUGUAGAGGUGGAAAUUCGUAGAUAUCGGGAGAACACCAGUGGCGAAGGCGGCGACCUGGGCCAUAUUGGACGCUGAAGGUGCGAAGCGUGGGGAGCAAACAGGAUAGAUACCGGUG
rnacentral:rRNA from 1 species